rnacentral:lncRNA from 1 species
AAAAAAUCAAAGUGUGAGAAAGCACAAACUGGUUCUCAAAAUUUCUGCCUGCGAGUGACCUAUAUCAUACCCUCUUAUAUUUCAUUGGCCAAAUCAAGUGGUUUAACACAUCUGACUUCAAGGAGUAGGGAAAUAUACACCUCUUCUAGGCCAACAAGACAAUGGAUAUUGUUUAAGAGUAAAGCAAUCAAUCACAUGACUUUACCAUUUAAAGCAGGAGUCAGCAAACUACAGACUACCACGGGUUUGGUAAAUAAAGCUUCACUAGGACACAACCACACCCAUUCAUUUACAUAUGGUCAAUGGCUGCGUUUGCACUACAAUGGCAGAAUCGAGUGGUUAAGACAGACCAUAUGGUCAACUGAAAUAUUUAUUCUCUAGUUCUUUACAGAAGAUGUUUUCCUACCCUGAUUUAGAAAAGCAGAAGGAUACAUGCAUAAAUAUCUAAAAUGCAAUGUAUCCACUCUCUUAUUUCAGGAUUACAGUCCUUUUAUGGGAAGCAAGCAAAGUAUACAUUUAAAUAAAAAUCAAGUGGAGGCAUUAUUAAGAAAAUGUGCCUGAAGACCAGUAUUUUUUUUAAGCACUUUGGAACUGCAGAGGAAACAUCUGAUUGAAAAGAUAAGGGAAGACUUUUGGAGGAAAUUGUAUUUGGAAUAAGCCUUGAAAAAAAGGGUUUUCUUAAGGGUACCUUCCAGUGAAAAAUAUUGCAGACAGUAGGAAAGAUUUGAACAAGGAAAAUUUAAGGUAUGUUCAAGGAAUGGUGAAUACUUGUUUAUGAUUAAAUGCAGGUAUUUGUGAUGGAUUAUGGGAGAUGAUGCUGUCCCUGGAAACACAAAAUACCAUCUGGAAUUUUAAAAUUAGAACUAUAUUAUUAGAAGAUACAGCAAGGGUGUUGAAAGGCUUUGAAUCUUGCCUUUGCCAUGGAAUAGUUGUGUGACCUACCUUGGGUGACCCUAACCAAACAAUUUAACCUCUCUGAGCCUCAGAUAUCCCUACUUAUGAUGAGAAUAGUUGGAACCUCAUAGUUUUCUGAGGAUUUAAAUAAUGGAUGUACAAUGUCUGUCUUGUGCCUGAUACACAGCACGUGCUCAAUAAUUGUAGCUAUUAUUAUUUCUAUUACUCUUUUUAAAAAAUCUUUUAAAAGUUUGCUUAUUUUGAGAGAGAGAAAGAGAGACACACACAGUGAGAGAGAGAGAGAGAGCAGGGGAGGGGCAGAAGGAGAGGGAGAGACAGAAUCCCAAGCAGGCUCCACAGUGGAGCCCAAUGCAGGGCUCGAUCUCAUCAACCGUGAGAUCAUGAACUGAGCCUAAACAAAGAGUCCAACCCUUAACCAGAUGUGCCACCCUGAUGCUCCUACUGUUAACUCUUUUUAAGCCAUUGUCAAUCUGAAUUGACUUUUGCAGCCAGGCCCAUUCCUAACACACACUUUCUGGUCUCUGGGCCCCUUUUCAUGCAGUGCUUCCUGACUGGGACCAUCUGCUACUAUUUGCCAUCUGUGGAUCUUUAACAUCCAUCUCAAAUCAUCUUUUCUCUAUAAAGUCCUCAAAGUGGCUUCCCACAAUUUUUUUUUGGCUUCACAAAAUUGAAAAUUAUUAUCUCCUCCUCCCACAGUAUUUGUAACAUAUUUCAUUGUAUUUUAGGUGUUAGGUAUGUUUGGUCUACUUCAGACAUCCAUAAGAUUCUUGAGAGAAGGGACUGUACCUUUGUCUUGUCAGAGUCUUUCUAUAUAACUUGAUAGGCAGCAUUCACUCAUGGCAGGAUGGUCUAGAAAAUAUUUUCCUUAUUUCAUGCUGGGAAGCAUCUAAUUCAUGAACUGUCUCGGGAAAGUUUUAGUUCUGCAGCUAAGUUGAUCUUUAUAAAUAAGGAAAACUGUAAGGUCAUAAGUUGGUCUAGUUGUUGACUUUUCUCUACAUUUUGAAAGCAACUAAAUUGAAUUGUAUUCCUUCUCUCUAGUGUAUAGGGAAGACAGUUUUAAAAUCCCAUUUAUGAAAUUCUCUGAACAAAAAGAAACUUCACCAUUAUUGUUUAUUUUCUAAAUAUCUAAUGAAUGGCCUGGGACCUUCCUAAAUUUCUGUUAUAUCGAAGCCACUAAUGAAUGACAAUGUUUAAAAUGAAAAAUCCAAUGCACGUGGCUUAAAACCACAAGUUGCCCCUCUUCCUUUUGAUAGGUCAGGUUUUUUAAAGCAGUGCUGUCACAGUAAGAGACUCAGCCCCGACGCUGGAUGGAUGAGUCCCUGGAGUAUGUAGGAAACCUUAGGGCCCUUAUUCAUGUUGUUUUUAUUCCAUCACUUAACAAUCUCUCUUUUCAAUGUUUAAAAUAUACAUAAUAUAUUUCUCUAGUAUUUUAUGUAUAAGAUUUCUAAAUAAAAAUUAAUUAUAUAUGUAUGCUCAAAAUUUAUUUACUGAUGGGGUAUAGAAUUAAAAAAACCUGGAGGUCACCCGUUUAAAAGAAAACAAUAUAUAAAUAUAUUAUAUACAUAGUAAACAACAAUAUUUAGUUAUGCGUCUCCUAUAUUUAUCAGCUUUUAGAGACAAUGGUGAUUUCUUUCCAUACAGAUUGCAUUAGGAUAUAACACAGAGUUGUGAAAAAAUAUUGGUU